rnacentral:rRNA from 1 species
GACAGAGGAUGCAAGCGUUAUCCGGAAUGAUUGGGCGUAAAGCGUCUGUAGGUGGCUUUUAAGUCUGCCGUCAAAUCCCAGGGCUUAACCCUGGACAGGCGGUGGAAACUACCAAGCUGGAGUACGGUAGGGGCAGAGGGAAUUUCCGGUGGAGCGGUGAAAUGCGUAGAGAUCGGAAAGAACACCAACGGCGAAGGCACUCUGCUGGGCCGACACUGACACUGAGAGACGAAAGCUAGGGGAGCGAAUGGG